rnacentral:siRNA from 1 species
UGUAUAUCCAGAUUUUUCGGGUA